GAUUUCUGACGCGAUACAUUUUACCGGCCACGGUUUCGUGUGUUAGUGUAAAAUGUUCUAGUCAUCCUUCCAAUUUUAUUAAUUUUAUCUUCAUUGAUUGGAUUAAUAAAUUGGAUCUUUUACUUUGAAAAAAUUAGAGUGUUUCAAGCAGGCUAUAUGCUAUGAAUACAUUAGCAUGGAAUAAUAAUUUAGGACUUCGGUUCUAUUUUGUUGGUUUCUAGGACUGAAGUAAUGAUUGAUAGGGAUAGUUGGGGGUGCUAGUAUUCAGCGGCCAGAGGUGAAAUUCUCGGAUUCGCUGAAGACUAACUUAUGCGAAAGCAUU
rnacentral:rRNA from 1 species